rnacentral:rRNA from 1 species
GACGAACGCUGGCGGCAUGCCUAACACAUGCAAGUCGAACGAGACCUUCGGGUCUAGUGGCGUACGGGUGCGUAACGCGUGGGAACCUGCCCUUAGGUUCGGCAUAACUACCCGAAAGGGGUGAUAAUACAGGAACAUGUCUUCGGACCAAAGAUGUAUCGCCUUUGGAUGGGCCCGCGUUGGAUUAGCUAGUUGGUUGGGUAAAAGCCUACCAAGGCGACGAUCCAUAGCUGGUCUGAGAGGAUGGUCAGCCACACUGGGACUGAGACACGGCCCAGACUCCUACGGGAGGCAGCAGUGGGGAAUAUUGGACAAUGGGCGAAAGCCUGAUCCAGCAAUGCCGCGUGAGUGAUGAAGGCCUUAGGGUUGUAAAGCUCUUGUACCCGGGAUGAUAAUGACAGUACCGGGAGAAUAAGCUCCGGCUAACUCCGUG